GUAGGUGAACCUGCGGAAGGAUCAUUAUUGAUUUGGCGGACCGAGCGUCAGCGAGGUUUCGCGAUCGUCUAUAUUUAAAACCCACACCUUGAAUUAUAUAUUUUUUAUAUUUUUUAAAUGAUAAAAUAAAAAAAGAUCACUUUCAACAACGGAUCUCUUGGCUCUC
rnacentral:misc_RNA from 1 species